GACGAACGCUGGCGGCGGGCUUAACACAUGCAAGUCGAACGGAAAGGCCCCUUUGGGGGUCCUCUAGGGGCGAACGGGUGCGUAACACGGGAGUAACCUGCCCUUUACUCCGUUACAACUUCAGUAAACUGGGGCUAAUACCGGAUAGGAAUCCUUGCUGCAUGGUGGGGGUGGGAAAGCUUCGGGGGUUUUGGAUGGAUUGGCGGCUUAUCAGCUUGUUGGUGGGGUAGUGGCUUACCAAGGCGUUGACGGGUAGCCGGCCUGUGAGGGGGACCGGCCACCUUGGGACUGAGGUGCGGCCCAGACUCCUACGGGAGGAAGAAGGGGGGAAGAUUGAACCAUGGGCGGAGGCCUGAUGAAGAAGCGCCGCGGGCGGGAUGACGGUCUUCGGGUUGAAGAACGCUUUCAGCAGGGGAGAAGCUUGUGGUGACGGUACCUGAAGAAGAAGCACCGGCUAACUACGUG
rnacentral:rRNA from 1 species